GAGGGUAUAGUUUGGUGGUAGAGUGUGUGCUUAGCAUGCACAAGGUCCUGGGUUCAAUCCCCAGUGCCUCCA
rfam:Camelus ferus unplaced genomic scaffold scaffold2764, whole genome shotgun sequence.